rnacentral:lncRNA from 1 species
GGUCAAACCUUGGGAGCUCAAAGGGUGAUUCUGACCUGUGACGGCUCCAUUUUAUGCAGAAUAUUUUGUUUUGUUUUUAAUUUGCCUGUUUAGUCUAAUGUUCCCAGUUGUUUUCCUCCCAGGGAUCCUCACUCACAAGUGGACUCUGACGGCCUCGGGGGCUCAGAUUUCACAAUCAGCUAAGGCUAACGUAAGGCCUUCCAGGUUACAAGGCUGAAAGUUAUUUUCCAUCAUUCAUUUG